rnacentral:rRNA from 1 species
CACGUUAAGUCAAUGUCACCUGUACCCGAAACCGACACAGGUAGGGAGGUUGAGAAUACCAAGGGGCGCGAGAUAACUCUCUCUAAGGAACUCGGCAAAAUGGCCCCGUAACUUCGGGAGAAGGGGUGCCCACCUAAGACGUGGGUCGCAGUGAAGAGAUCCAGGCGACUGUUUACCAAAAACACAGGUCUCCGCUAAGUCAAAUGACGACGUAUGGGGGCUGACGCCUGCCCAGUGCCGGAAGGUUAAGGAAGUUGGUCAGGGAGCAAUCCUAAAGCUGACGACUGAAGCCCCGGUGAGCGGCGGCCGUAACUAUAACGGUCCUAAGGUAGCGAAAUUCCUUGUCGGGUAAGUUCCGACCCGCACGAAAGGCGUAACGAUCUGGAUGGUGUCUCAGAGAGAGACUCGGCGAAAUAGGAAUGUCUGUGAAGAUACGGACUGCCUGCACCUGGACAGAAAGACCCUAUGAAGCUUUACUGUAGCCUGUAAUUGAAUCCGGGCUGAGCUUGCGCAGGAUAGGUGGGAGGCGUUGAUAUUGUCCUUGUGGGGGCAAAGGAGCCAACGGUGAGAUACCACUCUGGCGCAGCUAGGAUUCUAACUUGGAGCCGUUAGCCGGCACAAGAACCGUUGCAGGUGGGCAGUUUGACUGGGGCGGUCGCCUCCUAAAUGGUAACGGAGGCGCGCAAAGGUUCCCUCAGCACGCUUGGAAACCGUGCAUAGAGUGUAAAGGCAAAAGGGAGCUUGACUGCAAGAGUCACAACUCAAGCAGGGACGAAAGUCGGCCUUAGUGACCCGACGGCACUGAGUGGAAGGGCCGUCGCUCAACGGAUAAAAGUUACUCUAGGAUAACAGGCUGAUCUCCCCCAAGAGUUCACAUCGACGGGGAGGUUUGGCACCUCGAUGUCGGCUCAUCGCAACCUGGGGCGGAAGUACGUCCCAAGGGUUGGGCUGUUCGCCCAUUAGAGCGGUACGUGAGCUGGGUUCAGAACGUCGUGAGACAGUUCGGUCCAUAUCCGGUGCAGGCGUAAGAGCAUUGAGAGGAGCCCUCCUUAGUACGAGAGGACCGGGAGGGACGCACCGCUGGUGUACCAGUUAUCGUGCCAGCGGUAAACGCUGGGUAGCCAAGUGCGGCGCGGAUAACCGCUGAAAGCAUCUAAGUGGGAAGCCCACCUCAAGAUGAGUGCUCUCAUGGAAUAAUCCAGUAAGGUCACAGGAAGAUUACCUGUUAAUAGGCGCAAGGUGGAAGUUCAGUAAUGAAUGUAGCCGAAGCGUACUAAUAGACCGAGGGCUUG